rnacentral:ncRNA from 2 species
AUGUGUCUUCAGAGGCAGGGUGUAAUUCCCGACCGGUGGUUAUAGUCCACGACCCAUUAGUUAUUAAUGGCUGAAGCGGUGAAACCCCGCUACCGAUAGUUAAAGUCUAGAUAAAAGAAGAUUGGG